rnacentral:rRNA from 1 species
AGAGUUUGAUCCUGGCUCAGAUUGAACGCUGGCGGCAGGCUUAACACAUGCAAGUCGAGCGCCCCGCAAGGGGAGCGGCAGACGGGUGAGUAACGCGUGGGAAUCUUCCUUGCAGUACGGAAUAACUCCGGGAAACCGGUGCUAAUACCGUAUACGUCCUUCGGGAGAAAGAUUUAUCGCUGCAAGAUGGGCCCGCGUCGGAUUAGCUAGUUGGUGAGGUAAAGGCUCACCAAGCCGACGAUCUGUAGCUGGUCUGAGAGGACGACCAGCCACACUGGAACUGAGACACGGUCCAGACUCCUACGGGAGGCAGCAGUCGGGAAUUUUGGGCAAUGGGCGAAAGCCUGACCCAGCAACGCCGCGUGAAGGACGAAAUCCCUCUGGGAUGUAAACUUCGAAAGUUGGGGAAGAAAUCCUGACGAAUAACACUCGUCGGGGAUGACGGUACCCAACGUAAGCCCCGGCUAACUACGUGCCAGCAGCCGCGGUAAUACGUAGGGUGCAAGCGUUAAUCGGAAUUACUGGGCGUAAAGCGUGCGCAGGCGGUUGUGCAAGACAGGUGUGAAAUCCCCGGGCUUAACCUGGGAACUGCACUUGUGACUGCACAGCUGGAGUGCGGCAGAGGGGGAUGGAAUUCCGCGUGUAGCAGUGAAAUGCGUAGAUAUGCGGAGGAACACCGAUGGCGAAGGCAAUCCCCUGGGCCUGCACUGACGCUCAUGCACGAAAGCGUGGGGAGCAAACAGGAUUAGAUACCCUGGUAGUCCACGCCCUAAACGAUGUCAACUGGUUGUUGGACGGCUUGCUGUUCAGUAACGAAGCUAACGCGUGAAGUUGACCGCCUGGGGAGUACGGC